rnacentral:rRNA from 1 species
GAUGAACGCUAGCGGCAGGCCUAACACACGCAAGUCGAGGGGUAGGAGGAUUAAGCUUGCUUAAUUGCUGACGACCGGCGCACGGGUGCGUAACGCGUAUGCAACGUACCUUAUACUGGGGUAUAGCCCGGAGAAAUUCGGAUUAAUCCCCCAUAGUACUAAUGAAUCGCAUGGUUUAUUAGUUAAAGAAUUUCGGUAUAAGAUGGGCAUGCGUCCUAUUAGCUAGAUGGUGAGGUAACGGCUCACCAUGGCGACGAUAGGUAGGGGGCCUGAGAGGGUGGUCCCCCACACUGGUAGUGAGAAACGGACCAGACUCCUACGGGAGGCAGCAGUGAGGAAUAUUGGUCAAUGGGCGCAAGCCUGAACCAGCCAUGCCGCGUGCAGGAAGAAUGCCCUAUGGGUUGUAAACUGCUUUUAUUUGGGAAUAAACCUCUUUACGUGUAGAGAGCUGAAGGUACCAAAUGAAUAAGCACCGGCUAACUCCGUGCCAGCAGCCGCCGUAA